rnacentral:rRNA from 1 species
GCUUGGGCGUGCCUCCACCACGCCGGCGUCGGCGGGCGUAUUUCGCCUCACAGUAGGUCGCCGCGACCCGUUGCUUUUGGGGACGUCGAAGGCCCGGACGGAUUGGUACCCUACCGGCUGGGGAUGCGGCUUCGGCUUCUCCUCUUGUCCGGUGGGCGAAACCGCCGGUGUCCUGGCUGCCCUGCGACGGUCGUAGAGACGAGCCCUCCCCUUCGGGGGGGCGGCUCUCGCGGCGUGCAAAAGGUCGGUGAUCCACCCGACCCGUCUUGAAACACGGACCAAGGAGUCUAACAUGUGUGCGAGUCAGUGGGCGCACUAAACCCAGAGGCGUAAUGAAAGUGACACGGGCUCGGCUGUCGCCUCGUGUGGCAGCCGGACUCAGGGCCGAUCCCUCACCGGUUGUCCUCGCCUCUCUCCCGCGUCUCGGUAAGCCGGGUGAGCUAUUUUCCCCGGCCGCUGCUGCGGGGCUCGGGGGGAGGCGGGGUGCGAUGGUGUCUGUAAAAAAGAGCCUGCUGUUGCAGGGGGGCGCAGGCCCGGGACUUGCCAGGACGCCGCGAGACUGUCACUUUGCUGUGAGGCUCUCGGGCCGAUCAGCGGGUCAUGCGUGCAGUCGGCAAGUACCAU